rnacentral:tRNA from 1 species
CCUAAAAGCCCCCUAAACAC